ACGGGAGGCAGCAGUGGGGAAUAUUGGGCAAUGGGCGAAAGCCUGACCCAGCAACGCCGCGUGAAGGAAGAAGGUCUUCGGAUUGUAAACUUCUUUUAUGAGGGACGAAGGACGUGACGGUACCUCAUGAAUAAGCCACGGCUAACUACGUGCCAGCAGCCGCGGUAAUACGUAGGUGGCAAGCGUUAUCCGGAUUUACUGGGUGUAAAGGGCGCGUAGGCGGGAUGACAAGUCAGGUGUGAAAUCUAUGGGCUUAACCCAUAAACUGCACUUGAAACUGCCAUUCUUGAGUGUCGGAGAGGUAGAUGGAAUUCCUAGUGUAGCGGUGAAAUGCGUAGAUAUUAGGAGGAACACCAGUGGCGAAGGCGAUCUACUGGACGAUAACUGACGCUGAGGCGCGAAAGCGUGGGGAGCAAACAGGAUUAGAUACCCUGGUA
rnacentral:rRNA from 1 species